rnacentral:rRNA from 1 species
GUAGUUUGAUCCUGGCUCAGAUUGAACGCUGGCGGUAUGCUUAACACAUGCAAGUCGAACGGAAACGAAACUAGCUUGCUAGUAGGCGUCGAGUGGCGGACGGGUGAGUAACGCGUAGGAAUCUGCCUGAUAGUGGGGGAUAGCCCGAAGAAAUUCGGAUUAAUACCGCAUAAUCUAUUCGUAGUAAAGUGGGGGACUUUCGAGCCUCACGCUAUCAGAUGAGCCUGCGUAAGAUUAGCUUGUUGGUAGGGUAAAAGCCUACCAAGGCUACGAUCUUUAGCUGGUCUGAGAGGAUGAUCAGCCACAUCGGGACUGAGACACGGCCCGAACUCCUACGGGAGGCAGCAGUGGGGAAUAUUGGACAAUGGGGGCAACCCUGAUCCAGCAAUACCGCGUGUGUGAAGAAGGCCUGAGGGUUGUAAAGCACUUUCAAUUGUGAAGAAAAGUUAACGGUUAAUAACCGUUGACCUUGACGUUAACUUUAGAAGAAGCACCGGCUAACUCCGUGCCAGCAGCCGCGGUAAUACGGAGGGUGCAAGCGUUAAUCGGAAUUACUGGGCGUAAAGCGUGCGUAGGCGGUUUAUUAAGUCAGAUGUGAAAGCCCCGGGCUUAACCUGGGAACUGCAUUUGAAACUGGUCAACUAGAGUAUGGUAGAGGAAAGUGGAAUUUCUGGGUGUAGCGGUGAAAUGCGUAGAUAUCAGAAGGAACAUCAAUGGCGAAGGCAGCUUUCUGGACCAAUACUGACGCUGAGGUACGAAAGCGUGGGUAGCAAACAGGAUUAGAUACCCUGGUAGUCCACGCCGUAAACGAUGAUAACUAGCCGUUGGGGGGAUUUACCCCUUAGUGGCGAAGCUAACGCGUUAAGUUAUCCGCCUGGGGAGUACGGCCGCAAGGCUAAAACUCAAAGGAAUUGACGGGGACCCGCACAAGCGGUGGAGCAUGUGGUUUAAUUCGAUGCAACGCGAAGAACCUUACCUGGUCUUGACAUCCUGCGAACCUUCUAGAAAUAGAUUGGUGCCUUCGGGAACGCAGUGACAGGUGCUGCAUGGCUGUCGUCAGCUCGUGUCGUGAGAUGUUGGGUUAAGUCCCGUAACGAGCGCAACCCCUAUCCUUAUUUGCCAGCACAUUAUGGUGGGAACUAUAAGGAGACUGCCGGUGAUAAACCGGAGGAAGGCGGGGACGACGUCAAGUCAUCAUGGCCCUUACGACCAGGGCUACACACGUGCUACAAUGGGAAGGACAAAGAGCCGCGAAGCCGCGAGGUGUAGCUAAUCUCAUAAAUCUUUUCGUAGUCCGGAUUGGAGUCUGCAACUCGACUCCAUGAAGUCGGAAUCGCUAGUAAUCGUAGAUCAGAAUGCUACGGUGAAUACGUUCCCGGGUCUUGCACACAC